rnacentral:rRNA from 1 species
UACGUAGGGGGCAAGCGUUGUCCGGAAUUAUUGGGCGUAAAGAGCGCGUAGGCGGUCCGGUAAGUCGGUUGUGAAAGUCGGGGGCUCAACCCUCGGAUGCCGAUCGAUACUGUCGGGCUAGAGUCCGGAAGAGGCGAGUGGAAUUCCUGGUGUAGCGGUGAAAUGCGCAGAUAUCAGGAGGAACACCGGUGGCGAAGGCGGGUCUCUGGGCAGUAACUGACGCUGAGGAGCGAAAGCGUGGGGAGCGAACAGG